GACGUAGGAGGCGAGCGUUAUCCGGAUUCACUGGGCGUAAAGCGCAUGUAGGCGGUUGAACAAGUCCGUUGUUAAAGCCCCUGGCUCAACUGGGGGAGGUCAAUGGAGACUGUGCGACUUGAGGGCAAUAGAGGCACGUGGAACUCCCGGUGUAGCGGUGGAAUGCGUAGAGAUCGGGAAGAACACCAGUGGCGAAGGCGACGUGCUGGGUUGCACCUGACGCUGAAAUGCGAAAGUGUGGGGAGCAAACGGG
rnacentral:rRNA from 1 species